AGCUUUGCACAGUGGCAGUAUUGUAGCCAAUGAGGUUUAUAUGAGGCGUGAUUACUGCUAAUAGAAAAAGAAAAAAAAUAUUGCCUAAUAUUAAAACCUCCAAAUAAAUAACACUUUGAAUAGCUGCUUAUCUAUUUGGA